rnacentral:lncRNA from 1 species
UAUGGGAGGGGGUUCGGGCGUUGGAACUCCUGGAAACAUAUGGUUGGACCCUUCCCCUUUCUUCCUUUUGAAAAUGGCUGUAUCUGCCUUGUGUCUUGAUUUUAUAAUACUAAGUAACACAGGUAGUUAACACGUAGGUUUUUACAGAAGAACAACAAGUAAGGAACCGUAUUCAUGCUGAUUUUUUUUUUUGGUCCCGCG